rnacentral:rRNA from 1 species
GACGAACGCUGGCGGCGUGCUUAACACAUGCAAGUCGAGCGGUAAGGCCCUUUCGGGGGUACGACGAGCGGCGAACGGGUGAGUAACACGUGGGUGACCUGCCCUCAGCUCUGGGAUAAGCCUGGGAAACCGGGUCUAAUACCGGAUAUGACUCCAUGACGCAUGUUGUGGGGUGGAAAGCCUUGUGCGGCUGAGGAUGGGCCCGCGGCCUAUCAGCUUGUUGGUGGGGUGAUGGCCUACCAAGGCGACGACGGGUAGCCGGCCUGAGAGGGCGACCGGCCACACUGGGACUGAGACACGGCCCAGACUCCUGCGGGAGGCAGCAGUGGGGAAUCUUGCGCAAUGGGCGAAAGCCUGACGCAGCGACGCCGCGUGAGGGAUGACGGCCU